AAGGUCAGCUUUAGCAAUUUAGCCAGACUAUCAAAAUGAAAAAAGGGCAGGGGAUGUGACUCAGUAGUAGAAUACUCCUGGGUUCAAUCCCCAGUACCAAAAACCAAAAAAGGCAAGAAUCUUUAAAUAGAUUAGUUUGAAAGGGGAUGAGCUAGCAGGAUCCCCAAACAAAAGGGACUCAAAAAGGAGCAAUUACCCAUGGAUUUUAUCUAUCAUAAGUACAAAAGUAUAAAUAUCUUAUGGGGAAAGUUUAUAGCCUUCUGGGAUGCCUUUCUUAGGAAAAGUCAUUAUAUUCUAUUUUAAGUAAUUUAAUGAUGGAGUAAUAGGAGGUUCAGGAUUUAUAGGAAAGAUUCUAUAAGAGCAAUAUUUUUUUUCUUUUUUUUUUUUUUUUUUUAGAGACAGGGUCACACUAAGUUCCCCAGGCUGGCCUCAAACUUGUGAUCCUCCUCCCUCAGUCUUCAGAGUAGCUGGGAUUACAGGCAUGUGCCACCAAAGCCCAGCAGUAUUAAUUGAAAUAAAAAUUUUUAGCCAGUUGAAUAUCCAGUGAUAGGUGAUUGAGUAUUGAUACAUUUUUAAAUUUGAAUAAUAUUCUGCCAUUAAUGCAUUCAUAUUUUAAGAAUUUUAGAAAAUGUUCAAGAUUACAGAACUGUACUUUAUGAUCUGUGUUGUAAAAUGACAUUUGGGAAUGAUAUGCACUAUUUGAUUUCAGUGUAUCUGGGUUGUGUGAAUAUAGGCAAAUUUAAAAAUUAUAUGCAUUUAUAUUGCAUUUAUGUCUUUUGUGUAUGUGUAUGUGGAGAGAGGCACAGAAAAAUAAGAAGAAAAAUGCAUUCCAAUAUUAAUAGUGGUUAAUUUGGAUAUUAGAAUUGCUGAUUUUUAAAUAAUUAUUUUAAAUAUAUUUUGCUUAGUUUUCUGAUUUUUCUUUCUCAUAUGUUUUUCUAUCCAG
rnacentral:lncRNA from 1 species